rnacentral:rRNA from 1 species
AUUGAACGCUGGCGGCAGGCUUAACACAUGCAAGUCGAGCGGGGUGAUGGUGCUUGCACUAUCACUUAGCGGCGAACGGGUGAGUAAUGCUUAGGAAUCUGCCUAUUAGUGGGGGACAACAUUUCGAAAGGGAUGCUAAUACCGCAUACGUCCUACGGGAGAAAGCAGGGGAUCACUUGUGACCUUGCGCUAAUAGAUGAGCCUAAGUCGGAUUAGCUAGUUGGUGGGGUAAAGGCCUACCAAGGCGACGAUCUGUAGCGGGUCUGAGAGGAGGAUCCGCCACACUGGUACUGAGACACGGCCCAGACUCCUACGGGAGGCAGCAGUGGGGAAUAUUGGACAAUGGGGGGAACCCUGAUCCAGCCAUGCCGCGUGUGUGAAGAAGGCCUUAUGGUUGUAAAGCACUUUAAGCGAGGAGGAGGCUCUUUUGGUUAAUACCCAAGAUGAGUGGACGUUACUCGCAGAAUAAGCACCGGCUAACUCUGUGCCAGCCGCCGCGGUAAGAC